CAGACAGCUUCUGGCUGAAGAUGUUACACUUUCAUCAGCUUUUUCUUUCCUUACAGGUAGAGUUAUUUUCUCCAUUUCUAUUCUGACACAGCAGUAUGUGUGACUGCUGCCCAGUCUGCAGCUGUGUGAAAUCAGUCCUUAGAACAAACCAGCUACUGGGGUGUUUUGCACUAAAGUUCCAGAUAUAGAUAUGCAGUUGGUAAGAUUACUGCUCUAAAUUUGCAGCACCUUCUCAUGCAUUUUGGUGGUGAGUAUUAAAAGAAGUGCAAAUGAGAAAUGACCAGAAUUAGUAUCAGGGAAAAUCGGGUGCCCUAAUUUAGGAAAGCUAUUUACCUUACGUAAGACAUUUCAAUUGUCUGAAAUGACUUAGCAAAUAUUUGCAGGGCUGACAGCCACCAGCUGUGAGGUAGCAGCUUGGGAUGAGCUCUUUGCUCCUUGUCCUUCUGGGUCUUAAAAAGCUGUGAUCUGCUGGUUUAGGUGGCUGGCUCUGCUCACACGUAUGUAGGAAGGACAUGUUGGGUUGGGUUUCUCUUGAUGGUCUGCUAGAAGGAUAGCAGCACACAAGCUUGGUUGUAGGAGAAAGGUGCAUCUGCUUUUUGCUUUGUCCAUCUCCAUGCAAAGCUUGGUUUUGUAGCCCAUAGAGGCAGCAAAGCGAGGCUGACCUAUGCCAUAAACUGCAGCAGCUAAGGUAAGUGGGGGCAACAAGAGGUGAUAACUAUUCCAGGUGCUAUAGAAUGAUUUCUUUAAGCCGUUGGAUUUGGCUGUUGAGGGGAAGUUUUCUUCAACAAAAAAUGCUUGGAAUUGUACUGCUGCAGCUUUGUAGGCAUUGCUGGCUAUCCUGUAGGAAGGACUGAAUAGAUGUUAUCAUUUGAUGUAGAAUAACCUACCUGUAGGGUUUGAAUUAUUCUGAAAUCCAGAUCGGCUGCCUUCUAUCUGCCUGUCCUGAGAAUACUUUCAGUGCUUCAGGUCACUUCUUCCCUCCUGAACUGUGACAAAAUGUUGAAGUUUGGACCAAUUAAAGAGAAAGGUCUGGGGUUGUUUGUAUGGGUAAGUUAAAUAUAUUUAUGACAAAGCAUUUUUUUUUACUAGUGAGAUUGCUCAUAAAAAUACACAAAAAUAAGUAGCCCUAUGGAUUAUUAAUAUUUAAGAUUGAAUUAUUAGGGCAUAGGUAUUGCAUUGCAGUCCAAGUAUAGCCAGCUCACUAUCAGCAGAUGUACUGCUUAUGUUGCCUUAAAGGACACAGGCUGAUAUCAGGUCUGCUGUAAUUAAGUGAGGGUGCAUGUUCUGUGUCUUACUGUAAUUACAUGCUCAUCCUCUUUUUCUUUUUUGUUACAACACAGUUUAAAUCCUGAGGACAGAUAGGACAUGACUUUGUUCUACUUUGGGCAAAGCACGCCUGGUAAACCUUGUGACAGCAUUGCAACAACUGACUUGGUAAUCAGGAAAGCAAGCCUGCUGUUUUUAUCCUGCAGUAGCAAGGAAGAUGUAAUGCUCUACUGAAGUUCCUGAGAUGCAGCUGUGUUUUUCUUUCUUAGCUGCUGGGAGCAACUUUACUCUUCUGUGUGUAACUUUUAGAUACCUACACCUAUUUGCUAUAGACUUUCAUGUGACCAGAAAGAUGUGACAAGUCCUUGGUGGGAAAGAUAAGACGUGCUGCUGAAGUUGAGAAAUGCCUGUGUGGUAAACAAACUCCUCUGUCUCCCAUCCUUCCUUGCGACCACUUAUUUACUGUGCUUUUUUCUCAGUGCACUCAUUCUCCUUCAUGUAGAAAUUGAUGAAAUGGUGCAUUGGCUGCCCCCCACCCUUCUGUUAUCUUUCAGGUCAUUGACCUGAGAUGCAACCAUGCCUUGGGUUGAGUCACUUGCAACCAGUAACUCUGGAGCUGGAAAUCUGUGAACUUUAUUGGAGGAUUGCUAGCUCAGAAUAACUUACAGAUCCACUGCCAGGGCUGAACUGGAAGGGUGAUGAAAAUGGUGCGUUAUGUAAACUGCCCUGGGUCACACAAGUGGGCAGAUACGACUUGUUCCAUAUGGGGAAUGAGUUACCUAAACAAGGAACUUAUUUCCACUUUCUCUGCGCGUCCACAUCUGUAUUAAGAGCUGAUUCUUUGCUUAAGAUAGGAAAGAAUUUGCAAAUGGAAUUUAUUAUCUUUUUUUUCCAAAACGUAGAGUGAAUUUUGUAAGUCACAGGAAAUGUUUUUGUAACAGGAGUCAGGUGAUUUGGCGUGCACAAGCACGAAGUGCAGGGGCCCGAUCUGCAUUUAUCCUGGAUCAUAUUAAGGCUCUUAUCCUACAUCUCUCCCAUCUCUGCCCUUGAUGGCAUUGCACAGCACCUCAGCUGGGCCUGCGCUAUCAGCACAACUUGAGGCUGCUUAACUCUCCCACAAUCUCUUCUUGUGUCACUAUUAAGAGCAACAGAAUAAUGAAAAGGCUUCUUCAAAGGGGAAAGGUGUGCUGUGGUGGUGGAUUUUUAACCCUUUUUUAGUGUUUCUUGAAUACUUUGGAUUUGCCUGGUGUUUUCUUGGAGCUCGUUCCAUAGCCAGACUCUGUAACCAAGAACUCUUCCUGUUCUCCCCUAGCAAAUCCCUGCAAUCAAUCCCUGCUGCUUUGGGAUCCUUUUUGGUCAGGACAGCAGAUGUGACCAUUCUUCAGAUCUGUGUCAACCUAAAAGUAGAACUCCAUAGAAGGGUUUGACAGCUUCGUUAAUUCGGAAAAUCUGCAUUAAUGCCCUGAUACGGAUCGAUCGUUUAGACAACCUGCUUCAAUUGUUAGGCGUGCUUUACAGAUGCAAGCAGCAAGGCACUGUGCUCACCUAUCUGGGCCUUUACUAUAAAAUUCACAGCUUUGCUUUGGCUGUUGCUCUUGGCAGGAGACAUGCUGUAGCAUGUGGCUUCUGCAGAGCUAAGCUGACUGCCAUCAGAUGAGAAACUGGAAUAAAACCCUUUCAAGUCCCAGCGACUGCAAGUGUCUGUGCAGGCAGUAGAUACAAGUGCAAGACUAAGACAUGCAUUUCAUGCUUCCUCCCUGCCCCAACGUGUCAGCACAUACAAUUCACACCGGCUGUAAUUUUGAUGGCAUGAGAAUUUAGAGAGAUCAGGCUCAAGCUGGUGAUCUGAAUAGCUGUUGCUUGCAAAGAGCUUUUGGUGUCACCUGGCCCAGCAGUCAGAGCUGCAGCUCAGCCCAUGUGAGCUUUUCUGUACAGCGUUUCUAUUAACUGGAGGUAAUAUUACCUAUUACCUGGAGGUGCUUGAGCCAACCUGCUUUUGUUGCCUUGGAAAGUGAGAACCCUGGGACUCCACUUGAGUUAAUUGUUCAUAAAUGUAGAGCCCACAAAUGUGAUCCUUGACAAAGGGUGCAGUCACUGUGGUGCGUUUGCCACCCCAGGAGUUCAAGCUUGGCCACUCCAUCUUUGUUUGCAAAGGGUUAGGCCUGUCAAUAGCAACAGUCCGUUGUUAGGAGGUGGUGGAAGCUGAUCUGCAGGCAGCCAGAGCAGCUCAGGAUCACACGCUAUGCUCUCAUGUGUUCCUUUGCUGAUGGUCCCCUUCGCUCUGAAUUUUGCAGACACAUCGGCAUCUACCUCUGCAGUGUUGCAACCUCACUCACAAACAGAAAAAAAAGUGCAGCUUGCCCUAGGUCAUUUGCCUCAGGCCGUUAUCCAAAAUAGAACUGGUUACUUCUGCCACAUCAGUUAACCUUUGGGCUGUGCCACUGAAUCUUUUUUUGGGUCUCCAAGAAUUCUCUGGCCUUUGUCAGCACAGCAGGUACUGAUUAACAAUUAAGGCACGACUGGAGUAAGAAGGUUAGUGGGAUGCUAACUUCACAGAUCUAUCCACAGCUCUGCAUUGCAGUCUUCCAGUACUUAAAGGGAGCUCAUAAACAGGAAGAAGACCAAUUAUUAUUUUUUUUUU